AUUUCACAAGAGUGUUCUUGCUUCACCCAGAGAGGCGUCCUAGGCUCCAGUUCACCGUCCUUUCCAGGAACCUUCUGCUACCAUCUCGCUCUUUGGUCUGCUGUGGCUUCAUAGUCUCCUCUAGGAGAGAUGGCCUCUGUCUCCUUCCUAAAGGGUUAAUGUAGCGAGGCAGGUCAGGGUCCUGGCAAAGGACCACCGGAGAAGGCAGGUGAUAUACUUUUCUCUUCCAUAAUUCCUCUUCUUUCCCCUAGUAUAGGUUGGGCUAAUACGGUGUAGGCUACUCUAUCCAUCCCCCUUCGCUUUUCCUUUCCCCUUUGGAUGCUGGCCUGAGUAUGCUUUUAAACUUCCUAACAGUCUGGCUUGGGUUUUCCUUAGUCCUUUUUCUAGAGCUCCAGUCCCAUCAAGUGUGGCUGACCUCCAUGACAGCGGAUCUUCUUCAUUCUCCUUGGCUUGCUUGCCCUGAGACUACAGGUUGCCUGCCCUGGACUUUCCAUUUUAAACUCGAAUAAAUUGCCCCGAAAAUUC